AGGAGUACUUAAGCGGGAGGCUGCCAGCACUUCGAUGCCAGAGUGUUUGCCUUAGUGGUUUUUACCUGAGGCUUUGUUUACCUUGCUGAGUUACGACUACCCAGGCAUCAGCAUACCCUGUUCCAUCCUCCAUCUUAAACAUCGGCAAUUAAGCUCCAUUCGGCUGGCACCAAGAUCUCAACUAAGAGGACAAUUGAACAAUCUUCCUUCGCAAGUUAAGGCUCUGAAUCUCUCUACCCCUGGUGGUUCAAGCCACAACAAUUUAGUAAGCCAUUUCUCAGAUCUAAGUGAUCAGUUACUUCAUAUCACUCAUUCACCUGUCCAUUUUUCUUCCUUCCCAUAGAGUUGGUGUUUCCAGCCCACAACCCAGAUUACUUUGCUGACAAUAAAAUCCGUAAAACAUU